UGAAGUUUUGCUUCCCCGUGAAAGCUGAGUCUCUCUUUUUUUUCUCUUCCUUUCUUCAGGAUCAGACAGCUCCAGAUCUGAUCCCAUCGUUUUUCCUUCAGAGGCAUUGCAACGUCUGGUUGUGCUUUCUCACAAUCACAGCCAGGAAUGUGGUUUCAUCCCUAAUGUGAAGACUGCUUUGCUGGAGCAGGAGAGAGUCUGCAGCCAGCUGGAAUGGGAGUGCCUGGCUGGUCACACCUUCGCCUGGAGUCCCCCUGUCUCAAAGAUCAGCCCGCCACCCUUUUGCCAAACAGUCGCUGGUGGCAGAGAGGGGCAAGAGGAGGAAGCAAACACUACCAAGCUUAGCCCUCCACCCUCUCCGGUCACCAGAUGCCGGCGCUCCCUUCGCAAGGCAGCAGCAGCCCAUGCCAUUUCGUUAGCACUUGCUUCCAGCUCGCCCUGUCCUGUGGACGAGCCAGAACCAUCUUCCCAAGAGGAUGAGGAAUGUGUUACAGACAGAGAGAGGACGACGUGUUUGUCUCCUGCCAGUCCGCCAGGUCUGCACAAGGAGACAGAAUUACUGUGCAAUACAAAUUCGGAUGAAAGAGAAGCUGCACCAGAUGAGAUUCCAGAUAGCACUGAAGCUCCAGGACCAGAAAGGAUUUUAACUCUACCAGAGGAGACAUCCGAAUCAGUGUCUGGUCCACCAGAGGAGGAGGAAGCAGAAGAUUUCACAGAAGAAGAUAACAUGAUAUACAUGGAUGACCUGCGAGAUGAAAAUUAUCAGCCUUCCUUGGAUAGGUAAUAAAAUUAGAAGAUUUUAAAUGCAGCAGAGUCCACUUCAGUGUGGAUAAUGAGA
rnacentral:lncRNA from 1 species